UACGGAGGGUGCAAGCGUUAAUCGGAUUUACUGGGCGUAAAGCGCACGUAGGUGGUUUGUUAAGUCGGAUGUGAAAUCCCCGGGCUCAACCUGGGAGCGGCAUUCGAUACUGGCAAACUGGAGUACGAGAGUGGGGGGUGGAAUUCCAGGUGUAGCGGUGAAAAUGCGUAGAUAUAGGAAGGAACACCAGUGGCGAAGGCGACUACCUGGACUGAUACUGACACUGAGGUGCGAAAG
rnacentral:rRNA from 1 species